CCUACGGGAGGCAGCAGUAGGGAAUAUUGCUCAAUGGGGGAAACCCUGAAGCAGCAACGCCGCGUGGGGGAUGAAGGUUUUAGGAUUGUAAACUCCUUUUGUUAGAGAAGAUUAUGACGGUAUCUAACGAAUAAGCCCCGGCUAACUCCGUGCCAGCAGCCGCGGUAAUACGGAGGGUGCAAGCGUUACUCGGAUUCACUGGGCGUAAAGAGUGCGUAGGCGGGGUAGUAAGUCAGAUGUGAAAGCCUGUAGCUUAACUACAGGACUGCAUUUGAAACUGUUACUCUGGAGUGUGGGAGAGGUAGGUGGAAUUCUUGGUGUAGGGGUAAAAUGCGUAGAGAUUAAGAGGAAUACUCAUGGCGAAGGCGACCUGCUGGAACGUGACUGACGCUGAUGCACGAAAGCGUGGGGAGCAAACAGGAUUAGAUACCCGGGUAGUC
rnacentral:rRNA from 1 species